rnacentral:rRNA from 1 species
AUUGAACGCUGGCGGAAUGCUUUACACAUGCAAGUCGAACGGCAGCACGGACUUCGGUCUGGUGGCGAGUGGCGAACGGGUGAGUAAUGUAUCGGAACGUGCCCAGUCGUGGGGGAUAACGUAGUGAAAAUUACGCUAAUACCGCAUACGAUCUAUGGAUGAAAGCGGGGGAUCGGAAGACCUCGCGCGAUUGGAGCGGCCGAUAUCCGAUUAGGUAGUUGGUGGGGUAAAGGCCCACCAAGCCAACGAUCUGUAGCUGGUCUGAGAGGACGACCAGCCACACUGGAACUGAGACACGGUCCAGACUCCUACGGGAGGCAGCAGUGGGGAAUUUUGGACAAUGGGCGAAAGCCUGAUCCAGCCAUUCCGCGUGCAGGAUGAAGGCCCUCGGGUUGUAAACUGCUUUUGUACAGAACGAAAAGGUUUCUACUAAUACUAGGAGCUCAUGACGGUACUGUAAGAAUAAGCACCGGCUAACUACGAGCCAGCCGCCGCCGUAA